rnacentral:lncRNA from 1 species
CAGACAUUUAUCUCUGUUUUAUUUAGUCUUAUGAGAUUAAGCCCAUGAGUCAAGCCUGUCUAGAGCCAUCUGGAUCCUGUCAAUGUUUUUGCAAUCUUCUCAUCCUUUUUUCUUUUCCUUUUUUUUUCUUAAAUCAACUACAAAUUUGGUAAACAGGCCUUUUUCGUUUUCAACUAAGUCAUUAAUAAACUUGUUGUACCAGUCAAAGUUGAGCCCAGAAUUCUGCGGCUGGCCACCAGAGACCUUCCAGGUUUGACCAGCACUCCCGGAGUUCAGCAAGUUACAAAUUCUCCUCGUUGAACCAGCGUUCAGCUCCAUCCUUCUUGUAUUAGGGGCUCUUGUAUGUGGAUUUUCUGAGAGACCAGAACCACCCCCUGUGGACCUCAGAGGAGCAAAGAAUUCUUGGAAAAGAGUGCAGCCUCACCGGGCCACAGGGAGCAAGCAGCUUGGAAACCAGAGCUCUUUGACUUUCAGCCUCAACACUUGCUGGAGCUACGGAGCAGCCCAGUGUGGCCUCGGUGGCGGUGGGUAGAGUUAGUCACCCUUCUGCCUGUCCAGGGAUUCAAAAGGGUGGGGCUAGUGAACCAGCUGGUUUUUCUCUGUGAGGUUUUGGCCCAGAGAUCUGGCCUGUUGUAGAAGUUUGUACCUAAUUCCUCCUGGCGGUGUGUUAUCAGCAGAUUUUAAAGCUGCCUCCCAUCUCCGCAUUCCGGUCCCCCUAGAGACCUCCCUCCUCCAUGCGAGGGGGCUGUUAAUGAACCCCAUUGGCACAGCUGUUGGAGCUGCUAGGAUCUGAUUGAUGUCUGCCUGCCUGCCGUGCAAGCCUUUCUCUUUCGUGAGGCCACCAACUCUACACCUUCCGAUUUACCCUCUUUUCUCUCUUUAGAGGGUGAAGGUCAUCAGACUUGAGCUCCCUAUUGCAACAUUUCUCUGUAAAUUUACCCAACACCCUCUUCGUCCCUCCUGCCUCAGGGUCCAAGAGUCAGGUCAGUGUUCUUGGCGCCUCUGCUACGUGCCUGCCUUGUGGGUGGCAUUGCGUGGACCAGGGGUCCCUUCUUCUCUCCAGGUUUACCAUCCCCGCUGCUCCUCCCUCAGCACCAGCUGCACCCUGAGCUCUAGAUCAGAGCUUGGCAAAUUACAGCCCAGGGCCAAAUGCGGUCCGCCGUCUGAUUUUGUAAAUAAAGUUUUAUUAGAACAUGGCCACACUUACUGGUUUAUGCAUCGUCCAUGCUGCUUUGGCUCCCCAAUGGCAGUUGAGUAGUUGGGACAGAGACUACACAGCCUCCAAAGCUGAAAAUAUUUACUCUAUGGCCUUUUACAGAAAAAGUUUGCAGAUCCCUGAUUUAGAGCCUGUGCCUUCCUGCCUCCUCCAGCCCCCAGGAACUCACACCGUGCAUGACCCCUCUCUCUCCUGUGUCUUCAACCUCUCCAUCUCCAUGGACUCCUUGCUCUCUGGUCCAAGUGGCUUGUUGUAUCCUAUGAACUCUCCCUCUCUCCAUUCUUUGGCAGAUUCCGUGAAGGAGUUGUCUACACUCACUGCUCCACUGCCUCCCUGUGUUGACACCCAAGGGGUCUCUCUCCCUAGACACGGAUGGCUGUUCUCUGGAUGGAGAAUGGGAGCAGUGGGAAGGGCCUGCUGAGACCCCUCCCUCCCUGUGGGGUUCCCAGCCCCCCCCACUCUCACUUCUAGUCACCUAUGCUCACCGAUGACGUGGGGAGCUGUGAAGGGAGCAGGAUCAUGAGGAGGGCAGAACACAGGCUGGGGUGUCAGACAAGUCUGGGGGACCCUGUCACUUGCUAGACUAUGACAUUGUGUUGGUCCCUUCACCUCAUCGACUCACUCAGUUUUCUCAUCUCUACGACAGAAGUGAGAUCACCUGCCUCUGGAUCAUUGUGAUGAUGAAAGUGCUCAGCACCCGGUACCUAGGAGCCCCCUAGCCCCCACCCCUUCAUCAAUCUCACUGAGGGGAGCCCUUCCCUGGGGCCUGCUGGAGACGACAGAGGCCAGGCCGUGGGGAGCAGAAUGCUGCAGGAGCUCGGAGCAGAGGAGGCAGCAGCCUACGGCCUGGCCCAUUUCUGGACUCUGAAUUCAUGCCACAUGCCCCUCCCCAAGCUUGUCCUUUCUCCCCCGUGGAUGGGGUUGGGGGCCGCGACUGAGUGUGCCCGGAGGACAGCAGGCUGCAGACGGCAGCAGCCACGAAGGCUGAGGGACUUUCGGAGGCACAGGUGCUGGGGCCUGGCAGAGGAGGCGAGGCCGGUUGCUAUGGAGAGAGAAAUGUUAUGCAGUUAACUUGUUUGACUGGCGGCCUUGAGAAAUACCCACGUCCCUCUGGGCCUCAGAGCCAUCCAUCACUCCAGAAAGGCUCCUUUCAUGAUGAGGGUUAUCUAUUUGGCUAAUAAAACCACAAUUGCAAUCCCUUACAGACAGACAGCCCUUUCCUUUUCACACAUUUUAUGGAACCCCCGUCAGUUUAUAAGGAGCCUGAGGCUUCAUUCUAUUCAGCUCUGGCUCUGCCACUGAGACAGGCAUUCGGGGCGCCUACCGUGUGCCAGGCACAGAGGGGCGAGAGAGGAGCCAGCACAGCCCUUGCCUCGUAGGAGCUCCUGAUCCCCUGCAGAAUGAGCAUGACCUCUGCCCUCUCCAGAGGAGGAAGUGAAGGAGCAACGUUCUGCACAGAGAGGGGGCGGAGGUGGCCUUGGACGGGAUGGGGGACACCUUCCGAGAUGAGAGGGAAGAGGCGAAGAAGGAUGAAGCACAGGGUUAGAGUGAAGGGAGCUAACAAAUUAUGCACCUGCUUCGACACAGCCACUGCGCCAGGCUUUUGGCAUCCAUCAAUUCAUUUAUCACGACAACAGAAUUCUUCGGGUUGCGAGUGACAGAAUCACAAUGCAAACUGGCUUAGAUGAAGAGAAGAUGAUUGGUGCUUUGAUGAUGGUGUCCAGAGGACAGGAAGGGCUGUGCUCACGAGGUAUCACAAGUCUCUUUCCCAUGGCAUGUAGGAAAAGGCACCAGCUGCCCCCAGUCACCCCAUUUUGUCUCUUAGGGGAAAGUUUGCUCUUUUCCUGGCUGCAGUUUUAAAGAUCCCAUGGAAGUACUCUGAUUGGUUCAGGCCAAACCAUGCGCCUACCGCCCCCCCCCCCCCC